rnacentral:lncRNA from 1 species
UUCAAAUAGGAAUCCAUUUUCUAACUGGCUUUCGUGCUUUGGUGAGUCGUCCGAGAUCCUUUCGGUGACAUAGUACAAAUUAACCCUUUGUUCUUUUUUCUUUUUAGGUAUACCCUCCCCCGGGAAAGAAGAAUAGGACAAAAGAUAUGGAAUGCAAUAGAAAAUAGGAUAAAAGAUAUGGAAUGCAAUAGAAAAAAGGAUCCUAGCUUUCGUCUCUCAGUGUCAGUGUCGACCCAGCAGAGUGCUUUCGCCGUUGGUGUUCUUUCCGAUCUCAAUGGACUACUUAACUGGAGGAUUCACUGCAAAUAUUAGCUUGUCUCAUUAUUGCCGCGACAACGGCCUACUUCUUCACAUUCACCGAGCAAUGCAUGCAGUUAUUGAUAGACAGAAAAAUCAUGGUAUGCAUUUUCGUGUAUUAGCUAAAGUAGGAAGAACAGGUUGUUCCAGCUAGAUACCGUCAAAAAUUCCUGUGGGGGCAUCUUACUUGACCUGAUCCAUGUUGUGUUACGCGGCUCCUAAGAAAAUUCCCGUGACUCUACCUACGUCGGAUCCCGCUUCCGUUUUCCCCAUCUAUUGAUGGGUUGUUAACGAGUGUUUCCCCCAAAUGGUUUCACCGGUAAUAAAAGGUCAGGUAAUAAAAGGUAAAAAAAAACCAAGUUCACCUCACUUUCAAUUUAUUUUUCACUCUGUUUGCAAAACAUGCAAACAGAGAAGUUUCCUUAGUUUAUGAAAAGUAGGUAAAGCGGAACUGUGGAAGUCGGUAAAAACCCUCUCAAAUAGGCUUUUUGGUUCACAUAUCAUAAUCGCAUUUCUUUAUCCUAGUUAUGACUUUGAUAUUUUUCGAGAUUUUAUAGCAUGUUAAUUUAUACUUAUUGCAGAUGGCCUUUCUACGUAAAGGAGAUAUGCAAUAGCCCCUAUGUGAGAUUUUGGUAAUCUUUAUCGAAAUUAAAUCAAUUUCCUUGUAAUUAGUCCAAUAAAGUAUUAUAAAUAUCAGGAUUUAUUUAAAAAAGAACAUAGGAUACCAUGAACCAAUGCUUGAAACUUUGGUCAUAAAACUAACCUAAAAUUUGAGAAUGUCAUGUUCUUUUUUUUUCUGAAACUGAGAAUGUCAAUUCUUAGCGUCAUUACAUUUGAAAAAUCUAAGGUCGGCUUGUCACACGUCAGGCCAACGAAGAGGUUGUUUUCUCCAGCAGCAAUUGGCCCAAGUAACUGCGUACAGGCCCACCAAAUCAACUACAGUUGGGCCGAACCGGUAGCAAAAAUCGAAACGGACAAGUUUCCAAAGAAAAAGGAAAUACAACUAACGCGUACGCGUAUGCGUAUGGGUACAGGCCAUAUACAGCUUUCGAUCCCCCGCGUACGGAAUACGCUCUCGCUCCCCUGUCUUUCUCGCCAGAUCAGAUCGGAAAUUCCAAAGCAAGCUUUUCGUCAGCGAUUCGCCGAGACCCAUCCAACGCCGCCGCCAUGUCCGCCGCCGUCGCCGCCCCCGUCCUGCGCGAGGACGACCGGGGGAUCCCACGAUCCCUCCCCCUCCUCGCGGCGCUCGUAGAGGCGGAGUCCCGCCGUUUCGCCGCCGCCGCCUCCCGUCCCGCCGAGACCGGCCUCGUCCGCGCCUUCCGCAGCGGCGCCGCCCCGAAGGUCCCGAUCCGCAUCUUCAUGGAGCGGAUCCACCUGCUGACCCGGUCGGUGCCGACCUCCCGGGGCAUGACCAGGAUCGACGGCACCAGCUUCGUGCUCGCCGGGAUCUACUUGACUCGCUUCAUCCGCAGCCCCGCCGGCAGGGAGGCGGGGAUCCUGGUGGAGCCAGCCACCGCGCACCGCCUGGUUGCCGUCGCGCUCUUCCUUGGCGCCAAGUUCGGCGGCCACCCGCCCAGGAAGUGGAUUGGGGUGUUCCAGGCCAGCUCGGAAGGCGCGAUCCGUGCCGGCGAGAUGGUGGCCCUCGAGGGCCGCUUCCUGCGUGCAAUCGACUUUCGCCUGUUCGUAGAGACCUGGGAGUUCGAUUCCUUCUGCCUUGUGCUGGAGCGGGGGCCUCGGGCACCAAGGGGCGGCAGCGGUAGCGUUGGCUGCGCCAGCAAGAAGAGGCAGGCGGACGCCACGGUCGGAGAGGAUGAGCGCCGCCGCGUCCGAGCUCGCCUGCCGCCACCUGCCGUCUUGUCCAAUUAGGAUUUGUUUUCAAUUUGAAGUUUCGCCUUCAAUUCGCUUAUUAUUUCUUUUAGUUGCUUUUGAUUGUUCGUCUAUCUAUUUUUGCUGCAGGUACAAGGCUAGGAGUAGAAGUGUUCGAGGUGGAGAAGGCGUUGUCCAGUGUCCGAUCCGGGAUCAGCUUCUCCUUGCUGGAGCCUGGAGGAGAGCCUGGUGUAGGAUGCGUCGUCCCGCUUCGGAUCAUGGAUGACCUCCUGCUCGUCGCCAGAGCCUGGAGGGUAGUCAACAGAACUUAGUUUUAGCCAAGGUUGUUAAAGCGAUUGCUGGCUCACUGAAAGAGUUCUCUAGUACUGGGUUUUCAAGCUUUGGAGUCAAUAAAAAGGGCACAAUAUGGUGUUCUGUACUCUGAAGUUUCAGUGUUUAGUCUAUUUGAGCUACUGCAACUCAGUGAUUGAGUAUACUAUCCUUCAGUAGAUUAGGCAAUGUACUUAUGAUUAGGAUGUGUUUCUUCAGUAGUCGAUUUUGGUGUGGUUCUUCUCUUCUGUGUAAGACUUUCUCAGAUCGGAUAAUAAAGUGUAAGACCUUUGUCAUCUAUUUUUUAUGGGAAAAGUCUCCCAUUCGAAAGGCAAGCUCCAGAGCAUAACCUUUAAUUUCAAAACUAACCUUUAAUAAGUAUUUCAAAACUAUGAAAUGUUUUAUUUGAGUAUUGUGCAUUUACAUUUUUUCAGGAGUUGAAAGAAACCAUAGAUGCAUGAUCCACCGCGCAUGACGCACCGCGCGGUGCCGACCUGGACAGGGGCAAGUGGAGAGCUAGCCAUGGCGUGUGCGGCCCCGUGCGUCCCAGAGGCGAUGGAGGCAUCAGGUGAGACAUGCUGGCUGCGUGUCCUCCUGUGUCUUCAAUGUUGCCACCUUCUCCUCGGCUACCUUCUCCUCGGCUGAGGAGUUGUAGAGACAAUAACGGGAGAGGGAGGCGGCUGGGUGCCGGUGAGGGAUCGUGCGGUGUGGAGGAGGCUGCGCGUGGCAACGCACGUGCGUAAGGUGGCGACGCCCUGAGGAGAUGCUUGAUGAUGCGUGAUGGUGAGGCAGUGCGGCGGUGGCCUCGUGCGAGGAGUGGGGUACGGCGGUGUGGUACAUGGAGGCGCGGCGGACAACGAACGGUGGUGGAGGUAUGGUGGUGUGGUGCGUGGAGGAGCAACGGCGACGUCGCCCCAGAUGGGUUGCCGUGAUUGUGGUCCGGGAGUGCCCAUCCGUGAGCAUGCAGUGAGGGGUUGGGAUGCUCCGGGCGAAAGCCCUCGUCAGCGUUUUGCUGGUCGAGAUGAUGGCGGCGCCAUAAGGGCAUCGUUCUCCCCGUUGGGGGCAUCAUGUUUAAGCUACAACCCGGCUGCACGGGGUCCUCUGGGUGAAAUCCCUGUCCUGAUCCUGGAUGAGCGACGGAGGCGUCAUUGGUGUCGUGCCCUCCUUGGAGGCGUCAUCUCUAGAGACCCAUUUCGGUUUAUGGCAUUGCUGGUCCGUUGGCCAUGGGUGACUGCAGCUGGUAGCGGCAUUUCUGCCGUGUGGCAAGCUGAUUGGGUAUUGCCAAGGUCACGUGAAGGCGAUCACAGUUAUGGUGGCGGCCAGGGGUUGUCGCAGGGGUGCCGAUUUUUGACUGCAUGCAGCGGACCACAACGGCUGGCGUUUCUUGGCAACAGUUAGUAUGGUAUGGGAUGGCGUCAGAGGACGACGCUUGCGGCAAUGGCAUCGACGGACAGCUAGGCUUGCAGCGGAUCGCGGCGUGUUGCUCAACUCAGCUGGGCUACCUGGUGCAGUACAUCGUCGGAAGGCGGCGCAAGCGACUUCUCUGGCUUACUAAAAUGGCAGUGGAGGUUUUUUGCACGGGUGAAACAACGAGGCGAAGUCGACCUGUGGCGGCAGCCAGGCUGAUCGAUGGAGAUCUUGUGGAGCGGGGCAACAAUGCUCACUACUCUGACGGCGACAAAAGAAAUGGAUCCGUGACAAGGAGUAGUGACAAGGAGUACUGUGGCUGGCGUGGUGAGGCCCCCGCGUGCGGUGUUUUUUUUCUUCGAGGCGAUGAGAGCGAGGUGGAGUCCAACGGUGGAUGUGGUGAGAUCCCCGCACGUUGUGUUAUCGCGGUGGCGAUUGUGUGGCAGCCUGCGAGAGGUCUGGAUUCGGUGGUAUCACUCUAUCAGGUGGCGUGUGGUGUUGCAGCGGCACUACAGCGGAGGGUCCCGUAUGGCAGUGGCCUUCUCGGUGCAGUGCAGUUUGCUUUAUCGGUUCCUUGUGGACGCAUGGCCUGGAGGUUUCGGCGAAUACAUAAUUGGGUAUGUUAGUGGGUGUCGUACUAAAGGUUUCGGUUCUGCUGCCGUGGCAAGUGGAGUGGUGAGGCCGGGUUGAUGUCCUAUUCUUACCGGUCAGGCAUGGUGGUUGAGUUGAGUGGCUACCCACGUUGAUGUCCCAAUCCAACCUGGUGAGUCUUCUUUGCUUUUUUCUUUUCUUUUCCUACAUAUGGCCUCCCAGGGCUGUAGUCUUGUAUUUUUCUACUAUAUCAAUGAAACACGCACUAUCUUGUGCCGUUCGUUCAAAAAAAAGUUAGUUUGAUCUCAUUGGACUCGGUCAGGACUGAGUCGGAGUCCCUGAUCGGGGGCACACAACCAACUCAUGGUUGCGGCCCCCCCGUCGCGCAGCGCUAUAAAAAGAGAGAUAGAGGCCGGGGCAUGCACGCCAAAGUUGGACGUGCCCACUAGACCCACGGACACACCUAAAACCUGAUCUAAACCCUAGCGCUGAAGCGGCAGGAAGCACCGCCGCCACCUCAUCGCCGCCGCCGCUACCGUCACCACCAACACCGUCGUCACGACCAUGGCGAGCUCGUCGACCAAGCCCGAUGGUGGUGCCCUCACACUCUAUCUCUCUCUCUCACUCCCUCUCGGAUGUUUCUGUUUAGAUCUAAGGAUCUGUUUUUCACCUAAGAAUGAAGUAGUUAACCCGCUAGUUUUGCACCUAGUGAUCCUAGAAUUUCAUCAAUGCUACCAGAGCCGAACUGUGGUGUAGAUCUAGUUGGGGUCAGAAAAUAAAAGCAAUUAGAAGGAGAUGAUUCAAAAUCAGUACCAAACCCUAACCCUAGACCGGAUCCGCUCUGAGCACAGAGAAAGAAGAAGAGGGUUGAGGGAGAAGAAGAAGAACCCUUACCGGAUCCGCUCCGCACUCCAGGAAGAAGAAGGAAGCCACCGGCGGCGGGGUGCCCAAGGCACGGACGCGAGUCUGCUCGAUGGCGUGCGCUCACCCUAGAGUGAGCACGCGCACCGGCGAGAGGACCGGCAGCAGCGCCAUCAUGCGAGGGCACCCGCCGGUGAGGGGACCGGCGGCGGCGCUGUCACCCGCCACGGGCCCACCGAGGGGAAGCCUCGGGCCGGGGACCGACGCUCCAUUAGCACUGCUCCGCUCAGCGUGGCGCUCGCCGGCGCUCCACCGCUUCGCCGUCCCGGUGCACCCACUCGGCUCUCGCCUCCUCGCUCGAGUGCCGGUGCUAAAAGAGAAGGGGAAGGAGAAAGAAUGUGCUAGGGUUUCAGACGGAGCUAGCCGCGGUGUUUUUGAUAUGGCCGAAAUCGCCGGACAACCGUUGGAUGAGAAUGAACUGCGCAGAUCAAAUGGACUGGAUUUGGCCUAGGUGGGAGGCUGCUUUCCUGACCCAGACCUAGGUUGCGGCGUGGGAGGGUGAGCGCGACGAGCGUGUGAGGCAGACCGGGCCGCUUUCACGCAUGGGAUGAUUGCACAGUGGAGUUCAGGUCCAGGAGGGAAAGGGGCCUAGCAAGGCCGCGGACUUGCGCCUGAGCGUGCUGGGCCGCCUUCCAGACGCGGGUUGAGAUGAGCUGCCACCGUACGAGCUGGGCUCAACCGUUUCCGCGGUCGAGCCAAAAGAACAGUAGAAGUUUGAGCCCGUUUCUUUUUUCAUUUUCCAAUGAUUUUUGAAAUUUUUAGAAAUUGAUUAAUGGCUCAAAUAAAAUUAGUUUUGAGGAGUUUUACCUGUGGGUAAAAUUCACAAAUUAAGUUUAAGCUUCCGCUAUGUUAAGUUUAAGAUAAGUUGAAUUUUUGGCAUUAUUUUACCAACUUAUGCAUUAAGUUGAAGUUUCUUAGUCUAUUUUCUAAUUAAAUUGGAACUAACGGGAAAAUUUAAUUAGAAAAUAAGUAAUUUUUCUGAGUAUGAUAAUUUUAUUUACUAACCAACAUUUUUGAUAAGGUUAUUGUGCUGAUAAGUUUUAUUUAUCAUUAUUGAUUCUAUUUCUGCCCAACGGUGAUAUAGAAUUAAUAUAGAGAAGUUUUAUGUUUUAAUUUGACCAACGUUGAAUUAACUCAAAUUUUUCUAAAUUUUUUGUUUUCAGGCAAUCCUUUGAGUUUUAUCUCGUGCGUAGAGCCUCUCAAUGGAGGGAAUUAUGGCUCAUGGUGAGAGAAGAUUGAGAUAGCGCUUGCGAUGUCAGACAUUGAUCUAGCAUUGACUGAUCCCUGUCCCAUAGCUCCUGAGGACCUCAUGAGGGGUGAAAAUGAGAGCGAAGAAGAUUUUAACGCUAAAGUGUGUGAUCAUGCACCAAUUAGAAUGCAGUACCAUAUUGAUCGUGUGAAGUGGGACCAGUCAACCAGAAAGUGCAUGAUGGUGAUUAAGAGCUCCAUUGUGGAGGCUAUAAGGGGAGGAAUCGUAGAGUGUAUCACCGCCAGGGAGUACCUAAGGAAGGUGGAGAGUCAGUUUACUAGCUCUUCAAAAGGUUAUGCAAGCCCUCUUAUUAAGAUGCAUGUUACUGAGAAGUAUACUGGUGGUGGAAUAAAGGAACACAUAUUGAGAAUGAGCAACAUGGCUUCCAAGCUCAAGCCUAUGGACAUGGAGCUCAAAGAUGAGUUUGUAGUCCAUUUGAUCUUUGCCUCCUACCCAAGGAGUUUGAGGCUUUUGUUGUUAAUUAUAACUCACAGCUAGAUAAGUGGGGCAUUGAGAAGCUGAUUGCCAUAUGUGUGCAACAAGAGGAAAAAAUUAAGGGCUCACGUGGUGAUUCUAUCAACUACGUGAGGAAGAAUAAGAAGAGGAAUUAUCAAAGCAAUAAUUCUAAGAACAAGGAAAACCUUAGUGGGACAAUACCUCUUCUUCUAAGGCACUAAGGCACAUGGAAAGGCUUCACUAAAUGAUCACCAUUAGAGCUCAAACCAUGAAGAGGUGGUGGACAAGGAUACUUGCAAAUGGUGCAAGAAGAAGGGACACUACCAUAAGGAUUGUGUGGAAUUCCUAAGGUUUCUAUGUAAGAAAGGGAUUCUAUAUGAGGAGGACCCUGCAAAGAGGGGAAAGAAGCAUAAAGUAGCAAAUGGCGUCGAAGCUGAAGUCGAAGCUAUUGGAGAACUCCCAUUAGAAUUAGUAGAUGGUUUUGUACUUCAUCUAAGAGAUGUUCUCUAUGUACCCUCUUUGCAUAGAAAUUUAAUAAGUGUAUUGCUCUUAGACAAUGAUGGUUUUGCUUGUCACUUCGGUGAUGGAUAAUAUAAAAUCAAGUUUAAUAAUAAGUGUGUUGUUCUUGCCUUAAGACAAGAUGAACUUUAUUUGCUAUCACUUUGUGAGAAUGUGAAUGUUGUAAGCACUGAUGAAUGCCUCCUUUUUUAUGAAUGUAAGAAAUAAGUGGAAAAGAAUUGAUGAUGUAUCUUCAAAAUUAUGGCACUGUCGUUUAUGCCAUAUUUCAAGGUGGAGAAUUGAACAGUUAAUUAAGAAAUCAAUUCUUCCACCCUUAAAAUUUUCAGAUUUAGAGGAAUGCAUCGAUUGCAUUAAGGGAAAGUUUAUUAAGAAAAUUAAGAAAGAUGCCAAAUGAAGUGCAGAAAUUUUAGAGAUAAUUCACAUAGACAUUUGUGGGCCGUUUCCUGUGACAUCUGUGGAUAGUCAUGAUUCAUUUAUAACAUUCACAUAUGAUUAUUCACGUUAUGGCUAUAUUUAUCCAACUAAGGAACGCUCAGAAGUGUUGGAUAAAUUUAAGAUAUUUAAGGCUGAAGUAGAAAAUCAGCAUAGUUGAAAGAUUAAGAUAGUGAGAUCCAAUCGUGGGGGGGGGGGGAGGGGAGUACUACGGUCGACAUACCUCAUAUGGUCAAGUUCCUGGACAUUUUGCAAGGUUUAUAUAGGAAAAUGACAUAGUUGCCCAGUACUCGACACCGGGUGAGCCUCAACAGAAUGGAGUGGCUGAAAGACGCAACCGUACCUUAAUGGAUAUGGUGAGAAGCAUGAUAAGUUACUCCACUUUACCGAUAAAUUUGUGGAUGGAGGCGUUAAAAAUCACCAUUCACAUUCUUAAUCGGGUUCCUUGUAAGUCAGUGUUUAAAACCUCGUAUGAGUUAUGGAUUGGACGAGAGCCCUCACUAAAUUAUUUGUGUGUGUGGAGCUGUCCGGCUGAGGCUAAAGUAUUUAACCUAGAUAUUGGAAAACUAGAUCCUAAGAUAUUCAGUUGCCAUUUCAUUGGUUAUCGAGAUAAGUCAAAAGAUUAUCGUUUCUAGUGUCCUCACAGACAUACUAAGUUUGUAGAAAUGAGACACGCUGUCUUUUUGGAGGAUGAGAUGAUCAGGGGGAGAAUAGUACCUCGAGAAAUUAGCCUUGAGGAGAAGUGGGUAUACGUACCCACUCCAAUAAUUCAGGAAUAUUUUUUCUCGAUAUCUGUUGCUGCUGCACCGACAGUACAAGACACUGUGGUAACGACACCUAUUAUUAGUUCUCCCGUGGCAACAACAAAUGAGUAUGAGGAACCUGUUUUUUAGGAUCCUAUAGAACCUGUUGUCACACAUGAGAAAGUGCUGCAACACCCCCACAUGGAAGAUGUGCCAAAUGUUGAGGCCCCCAGAAGAUCUCAAAGAGUUAGAAAGGCAACUAUUCCUGAUGACUAUGAAGUCUAUGUCAGUGAAGAAGUUCAAAUGGAGGGAGAUCCCACCUCAUUUGAAGAAGCCAUGAGAAGCGCUCACUCAUCGAAAUGGCUUGAAGCCAUGGAAGAUGAAAUGAGAUUUAUGAGUAGCAAUAAAGUCUGGGAUUUAGAAGAAAUUCCUAAAGGAGCCAAGACAGUAGCUGUAAAUGAGUCUACAGAACUAAAUGUGACUCCAAAGGGAAUGUGGAAAGAUAUAAAGCACGACUUGUAGCAAAAGGCUUCACUCAAAAAGAAGGAAUAGAUUAUAAUGAGAUAUUUUUCCAAGUCUCAUGUAUGGAUUCUUUUAGAAUUAUAAUGGCUUUAGUGGCGUACUAUGACUUAGAAUUACAUCAGAUGGAUGUAAAGAUGGUAUUUGUCAAUGGAGAUUUGGAUGAAAAUGUUUACAUGGCACAACCCAAAGGUUUUGUCAUGAGAGGAAAAGAAAGUAUGGGAUGCCGCCUAAAGAAAUCCAUUUACGGAUUAAAACAAGCCUCAAGACAGUGGUAUUUGAAGUUUGAUGAGACAAUAACAAAGUUUGGGUUUAAUGAGAAUAAGGAGGACAAUUGCGUUUAUGCAAAGUUCAAGAGUGGGAAAUUCCUUUUCCUCAUCCUAUAUGUAGAUGACAUCUUACUUGCUAGUAGUGAUGCUAGUCUGCUAUUGGAGACGAAAAAGUUCUUGUCCUUGAACUUUGAUAUGAAAGAUCUUGGUGAAGCUUCAUUCAUUUUAGGAAUUGAAAUUCACUGAAAUAGAAAAAAAGGGGUUUUAGGAUUAUCUCAAAAGGCAUACUUAGAAAAGAUUCUAAAGAAGUAUAGUUAUGCAUGCGAGUAAACCUACGCCUGCUCCCAUAGUCAAGGGCAAUAGAUUUGGAAAUUUCAGAGUCCUAGGAACUAAUAUGAGAUCGAUCAAAUGAAAGCGGUUCCAUAUGCUUCAACUGUCGGAAUCUUAAUGUAUGCUCAAGUAUGUAGACACCCUGACUUAGCUUUCGUAACCGGGAUACUUAGCAAAUAUCAAGAUAAUCUAGGAAUAGAUCAUUGAAGAAUGGUAAAGAAGGCAUUGCGUUAUACGUAAGGCACGAAAGGUCUCAUGUUAACGUAAAGAAGAACUGAUUUCCUUGAAAUAGAAGGGUACUCAGAUUCAGAUUUUGCGGGAGAUGUAGACGAUAGAAAGUCCACGUCAAGUUAUGUAUUCACUCUCGCAGAUGGAGCUAUAUCGUGGGAAAGCUUCAAGCAAACCGUCAUAGCAUCGUCCACGAUGUAUGCUGAGUUUGUAGCAUGUUAUGAGGCCACGGGGCAGGCAAAAUGGCUAAACAAAUUUGUACCUGGGUUGAGAGUGGUUCAAAGGCCACUUAAGAUGUACUGCGAUAAUGAGCCAGUAGUAUUUUAUGCUCACAACAAUAAGUCAAGUGGUGUUGCCAAACACAUUGACAUCAAGUUUUAUGUUGUGAAAGAGAAAAUUCAGAAUCAUACCAUUAGUUUAGAGCAUAUAAGAACAAAAGAAAUGCUCGUGGAUCCACUCAUGAAAGGCUUACCGCCCAAUGUGUUUAGAGAACAGUUAGCCGGCAUGGGUUUUAGGGAAAGCCUAUGAUCCCUGGGUACUAAGGGCCUAGAAUAAGAAUCUGUUUAAAAAUAGAAAGGUGUGUUGUAGCUGUUGAAUCUAAUAGUAAGUAACCGACUAUUAUGAUGAGGCAUGCUCUAUACACUGAUCUUUGACGAAAUGGGUGCUAAGUUAAGCAUCCCAAGUUUAAGAAUAAGUUUAAGUAUGAGAGGAGAUCAAGGGGGACAAUGUUAGUUUGAUCUCGUCCGGCUCGGUCCAACGACUGAGUCAGAGUCCCUGAUCUCGCUCCCUUAUCGGGGGCGCUCAACCAAUUCAUGGUUGCGAGCCCCCAUCGCGCAGUGCUAUAAAAAGAGAGGUGGGGCCGGGGGCAUGCACGCCAAAGUUGGACGUGCCCACCAGACCCACCGACACACCUAGAAUCUGAUCUAAACCCUAGCGCUGAAGCGGUGGGAAGCACCGCCGCCACCUCGUCGCCGCCGCCGCUGCCGUCGCCGUCAACACCGCGUUACCACCAUGACGAGCUUGUCGACCAAGCCCGAUGGUGGUGCCCUCACACACUCUCUCUCUCUCUCACUCCCUCUCAGAUGUUUCUGUUUAGAUCUAAGGAUCCAUUUUCACCUAAGAAUGAAGUAGUUAACCCGCUAGUUUUGCACCUAGUGAUCCUAGAAUUUCAUCAUUAGUGGUUGAGUUUUUAGUACAUGAUGAAGAUGUGAGGCUGCUGCUACCUAGGGGGCUUCAAGAUAAAGACCCAAGUAAAAAUAAAAUGUCAUUAAUACGGUUAACCAUAUGUCCAUACAUAUAGCUUAGCACUCGAGUCACUUAGCAAUUUACAAAUAUGUGAAAUUAUCCUAGCCUCUUGACCGCCGCCUGACGAACCGCCUGAUGAAUCACUACCACCAUCCGAUCAACCGCUGCAGGUCCCAACUCCUCGCUCCUUGCUUUAUAGUGCACCAGAGAAGCAUGAUCGGAACUUCUGCCAUAAAAGGCAUGCGCUCUUCAUUUAUAUGAGCCACAUGAAUGCACUUGAGUGAUAUAGCACUCGCCUGCAAAUUCUGAUAAGUGCCAUACGCUCCUCUGCUCGAAUAAUGUGAGGGCGCCAUGCCCCGCAUGCGCCAUCAUUUGGCGAACUACUAGGCGGGCUUUAGCAUGACGCUUCAAAGUUUGAUGCCAAAUCGUUUCUUUAAAUGCAGUAAAAAGAGAAAUGUCACAUAAAAAACCAUAAAGCAUUUAACUAAUACCAACCAUCCACACAAAAAACUACAUUUCUCUGAGGAGCUACUCCCGGAGAUUUCAAGGAUGACUGACGCUGUUACGAAAUCACUAGACAAUAGCUCCUCAAAGAAAUAUAGUACAUAUAGAGGCAUAUCACAUUCAUCAAUGCAUCAACAUUCAUCCAUAUUCAUCUAUAUAUGCAUGCACAUUCACUCAUAUUCAUCUAUCAAUGCAUACACACAUUCAUCCAUAUUCAACAAAGCUAGAGAACUCACCUCUGCGAUCGGGACGGCGGUGCCAGUAUGUGAGAAGGCGUCGGUUGGGGAGGAGGCACGGUGCUGGGCGAGCAGGAGGCGUCUGGCGUGGAGGAUGCGCGGCGCCGGGAGGAGGCGGAAGCAGGGAGGAGGUGGUGUUGGUCGGUGAAGGAGGCACCGAGCGAAGUAUGAGGCACGACGGUCGGGUGAGGAGGUGCGCGCCGGGGCGGGCUGGGGCCAUGUUUGUGGAGGCGCGCCCAUCAGGGAUGAGGUGUGGUGGCAAGAGGGGCGGUGGGGGGCGAGCUGUGGCCACGUUGGUGGAUGCUAGGGUAAGGUCCCUUGGGGGAUACAAAUGGAUAACCAAAGACUUGUCGAAUUUGAAUGGGAGGAGCAGCCUAUAACAUGGAGUAAUAUGGAGUAGCAAAAAGGUAACGAGCGCCAAUGAUGAACAAAUUUGUAAUGGCCGUUGUUGGCGCUCAUUACAAAUUUGUAGAUAACGCCCGUUACUAAUAUAUAGUCAUUGGUAACGGGCAUUGUUGUGGCCAUUGGCGGGUCGCGACCUUGACACUUAUUUGUAACGGGCCUUAAUAACGCCCGUUAAGGAGCCACGUUUGCCCAUUACCUAUCCCGCGUUAUCUAAAAUGAGUUUUCACAUAGAGAUUCUAAUAAAAUAGCUGACGGGUUUAUUCAUUUCACUCAUUAAUCAGCAUGGCAAAAAAGUCAGGUAAUUGUUGGUCCUGGAUUUACGCUUGUCGACCAAGUCACAUAAAAGACGUAAUCACCUUCGCCCAUUAGGUCCAAGAUAAUAAUGAAACAUGCUUCUCUGUCGGACACUUUUCUCAACAAAUGUUGUGAUGCUUGUUGUUGACAUUAAGAUAUGUCCUACACCGAAUGUCGUACCCGGGAGGGACCCAGUUAGGGCAUGGUGACCAAUGGAGUGCUCUAGACUCGGCAGGACAGCUAGGGCAUCAUAGAUCGUCAUCGAGACAAAAAAGGAACAACAAUUGAGGUUGGAAAAUUAGGGUAAAGGAUAAAAGGGAAAAAAAUAUGAGUUUGAUAGAUUUGAUCAUGGGUGAUUCAAUCGGCCGUCAACCUUUAUAUUUAUAGGGUGGCUAGUCUUUUCUGCUAGGUCGGUUACAAUAGAUAGGUAACUUAUGCAGGAGAAGGGGCAGCAGGAUGAACCAGCAAUGGCGCGCCAACCCAGGCUGGCCUCCGCGAGCCGCAGGCUACUGGUGAACAUGGCGGUCGCAGUGGUGGUGCUUCUCGGGAUCACCAUCUACAUGUGGCACAUCCUUGAUGUGGGAAGUGAUGGGAAUGGGCUGUUAGGCUGAUAUGGUCAGUGAGGAUGAAUUUAGGUGGGUUUUCUAGGAUUUAUUCCUAGGUUGGGUUGUUGUGGGUACGCAUGCAUGUUCAGUGGUACUACGCAUUUCUUGCGCGGUUGUUGGCGCUUGUUAUUGACACUUUUUUAGUGCCAUUUAAGUCAUGUUUUCAGACUAAUUCUUAUACUAACCCACCACUUGGCAUCUGAAAUAAUCCCAUUAUUGCAUAUGUGUUGUAUUUUGGAGCAUAUUGUGUUUUGAUAGGAAAUACGACAUAAUCAGGGGGUUUGUGUGCAGAGCUUAAUGGAUAAUUGGAUGUGGGUGCUCAAGAGGAACCUACACGUGAAUGGGGAGGACCAGAUAGGCCAGACUAGGACGAUUAGCCUGGUACCCUAUAGGCCGAUCGGCCUGGCCUGUUCUGAGGCCUGGUCGAGCUCCAAUUUUUCAGCGUGAAGUCUACGAUGCAUAUAGGGUUUUUUCAUUGACCAUUCAUCCAGAGUCACCUCCCAUGAAGGAUUAUAAGUACCCCCUGAAGGACUACAAGCAGAGAGAGCUAGAGGAGAGAGGAAACACCAAGCAUAUGCCAUUCCACUGCUGCCACAAGGUCAGGAACAGAGAGAAGAUUGGAUCUACAGGAGGCCACACGAGAUGGAGAUCGGGAGGGGAGGAGAAAACAUCCUAAGCCGAUCGGCUUGGAGAUGCUCAGGCCGAUCGGCCCAGGGCUUUCUCCCCUCAUUCAUCACCCUAUUUGGUCUAGCUGAUCUAUAGGGCAUCCUUUACCUCCUUUUGCGUCAACAUGUGUAAGAUCAUGGGAUGAAGUCUCUAUUUGUCCUCAAGGUUGUAUGGAGAUCUUGAUUUGUGAUUGUUGAACCUAUUGUUGAAGACCUGUUUGUUAUUAUUCAUGUAUUGAUGAUGCUCUUUCAUGUAAUGGCCAGCCAGCGCUACUUUGGAUUGUUUUAUUGCUUACCUAGAACAAUCAUCAUGCCAUGUUUCUAUUGUCCAAUAGUUGAUUAUCCUUGUGUAGUGAUAGUAUGCAAGAGGAAAAGUGUUGGGCAUGGUUCACAUUCACUCAUGAUAACACCUAGAUCUUAUUGGUUCACUCUUGGCGAUUGCAUCACGAGUGAUCCUAGAUCCCUAGGACAAUCGUUCCAUCUACCUUGUUCACACCCUAUACUCUCUAUCUGCUUUGAUCUAGACUUGUUAGCUCUUUUGUUACCUUACUCAUAUUCAAUACACAGGGCUUUCAGUUACAUUAAGCGUGCAAAUCCAUUAUUCUGUGGAUUGAUGAACCUUGGAGGAUUACUCUAAGAAAAAAGAUAUAACUGAUCCGUGCGCUUGUGGUACAUUUAAUGACACGAAUUGGCACGUUAACAGCUGCCAACAGCAAUGAGGGCAGUAGUCUCUCCAAUCUCUAUUAUAGCAUGUGUAUGGAUGCGCACACAUGUGUGUGCGUGUGGAAAAAAUAAAGUACACAAUAGACACUGGAUUGUUAGAGGAAAAAUGUAUUCAGCUGGGAAUUUUAUUAGGGCCUCUAAAUUUGCAAUGCUCUUAAAAACAAAGAUAUAAUACCACAAGCUAAUGUGUUGAAGAAAAAUAUUCUUGAUGUUUGGCUGUGUGCACUGCCACCAGAAUAUUCCGUGCCGCAUGUGCUGCAUGCUCGCACAACCACAGCUGGUCUCACCGCAUGAGCAGAUGUUACCGACCCGGGUUCCAUCCCAUUCCCACACAGAAAUUAUGUUGACAGUCCUUAAAUCCUAACUUUGACCAUCAAAUCCUGCAUCAAAGCUGUCAAGAUUAAUCACCAAACAUCGUGGUAGGGUUUAUUACUUAUUACUUCCACAAGUGUUGGUGAAUAUUUAUUUGCAGGUGAAUAUGCAUGAAGAGAAGGAGAAAACAAAUCUAAAGACUAAAGAAACACACAAACCCGGCCAAUCAGGAGGAAGCACACGGAUCCUAGUUCCCACUUCUAGGGUGCAAACUGACAUCAACCACCCUGUACCCACUUGAGGACCCAUAGAGCAGUGUUCCAGACAAAAGGUGGAGCGAGAGGUAGUGCCCAGGGGUCGACCGAACUCCUGGUUUGGCCAAAUCCCAGUGCCCCCUCUCAUCUCCAGCCACCAUGUCUCGUCUCCUACCGACCUCGCAAUGGUGGUUAGAUAGGAUUCCCCGAAUAUCCAUAGCCAGAACUGCCUUUAAGCACCAAUAUAAGGACAGGGGUAGCCUCACUUACAACACACACACACACAAAAAAGUAGGAGGAACACUUUGAGCUCUACUCCAAGGUGAAGCCCUCGUUAGGCUAUUGCUUAGAAUCACGAGAGAUUGAGGGGUAGUCUGGGAAGUGCCGGGUCUGUCAGCACUCUUCCCUAAGCUUGUACCUCGACGGAUGCUUCUAUCUUAGUAAGUAUUCAUGAUUUUGUAUGGUGGUAAGUUUGUUGAUUAGGCAAGUUAUGUUUCUUAAUGGCUUGCGGGUUCAUUGGUUUAUUUAUAUAGAGUACCAUAGUCUUCCAUGAGUGUAGUACAAAGACUAAGGUAGUAAUUGAGAGUGUCAACAUGGUGUCUAGACUGGAGGUUACCUUUGUUUGCCUUGUGCGCCAUAGAAUGUAGAGGUAAGCAUCAUGUGGUGAUAGUCCUGUCUAUCAUUUAUAAUCCUCCACAUUCAGGUACAAUGUAGAGCCGUUCAGAGUCUCCUGGAAGACUAGGGGUAAGCUAGUGCCCGAAGUAAGCAAGCUAGCUACAAAACCUGUAAUAUUGCAAACAUUUGUAAUAUUAAUUUGAGUGUAAUUUCCAAAAGUUUAAAACUUUUUGUUUGAAUUGUGUGCUUGUUUAUAAAUGGAAGACAAAUUCUCUUCUUAUCCAAAAUUCCAUUUCAAAACUUGUGUGGAAUGAUUUGGAUCUUUUUGGAUUUUAUUUGGAUCUUAAGUUUGUGUGUGUGUUUGAAUUUUGAAUCCAAUUCAAAAUUCAAAAUAAAUAUAAAUCUAAACCUAAAUCUAAAUAAAAAUCAAAACCCACUAACUACCAGGCCGGUCGCAGCCCACCGGCCUGGCCUGCCAACACCUUCCCCCUCACCCACCUUCGGGCCAGCCGCCAAACUAGCCUAGCCCGUCAACCGUCCCUCUAUCCCUCGUCUAGCCCAGUAGGCCCACCCGCCUAACCAGCCCAGCCUGCACACCACUGCUCCCCGCUCUCCCUCUUUCUCUCUCGCUGCCACACAGGGCCCGCCAAUCAGCCCCCUAUUCAUCCUUCUUCUACCUCCGGCCGUACGUGUCAUGCGGACAGCACGUGCUCGUUGGAUGGGACGGGCUCGUUGGCCGCAUUCGCGUUGGCGCACACUCACGUGCCUGUGCGUGCGCCUCUGACCUACCCCACUCCUCCGCUUUUGCGUUGGGAUCCUCGGAUGGGUGCCACGCCACCCGCGCCGUGCCGCCACCGCAUCCUGACCAUCCACCUGCCUACGCGCACCACCCUAAACCCUAGCACCGACGCCGCGCCCUCGAAACUCUAGCCACUCCUCACUGCUAUAAAUACAACCCCCGGCGCCCCUCCUCGCCAUCCUAAGUCGCCCGGGGCUCCUCUCUAUCGCCGCCACCUGAGAGAGGAGAAGUAGAAAGGAGGAGAAGGGAGGAGGAGAAGGGAAGAGGGAAGGAAGGAGAAGGAGGAGGAGGGAAGAAGAGAAGAGAAGGGAAAAGGAGGAGGAGAAGGCCCGCGCCGAAGGGAGCCAAGCCCAAGAGGAAGCUACUCACUGCCGUCCGCCUCUUCUUACUCUCCCCGCCGUGAGCUUCGCCACCCUCUCUCCUUUCUCUUGCUACCUUGUUGCUGUGUCCGGCCUUCGAGCCGCUUGUAGGAGCCGCCGCCACUCUCCUCACCGCCAGCUACCAUGGGCCUAGGAUGCCGAGGCCCCAUGCGCUGCCGCGGCCGUGCGACCCGGUGACCGCGUGCCGCAGCCAAGGCGACCCCGUGACCGUGUGCACGCACACGCGUCGCGUCGUGCCGCACCUACCGCACCGCGCCCACGUGCGCGCGUGCUGCCCACGCUUUCCCUUGCCCGUUGCCGCGCGCUAACCCGCGCCACACCGCGAUGUCGUGGGUGCGGUCACCGCCACCUGAGCCCUACGACGCAGCGCCACGCCCCGCCACUACCGCAUGCCGCGUGGCGGCACCAUGUAGGGUAAAGCGCGCCACAUGGCUGCCACGUGGCGCUAAUGUGUCCAAGGCCUGGGCCAACUGGUGGGGCCCACUAACUGAACCGUGGGGGCCACUAACCUGUGGGGCCCAUCGGGUGACCGGUCAACGUUGACCGGGUCAAUGUUGGCAUCAUGAUGAUGUCAGCAGACACGUGGUGCACUCUCAUGCUGCCACGUGGCACGACAGGAGCUGACACGUGUCACCUUUAAUAAAUAUUUUUCAAAAUUAAUUAAAUAAUUAAAUAAAUCCUUUAAUCUUUAAAAAUUCAUAACUAAUUCAUUUUAACUCUGAAAAAUAUGAAAUCAGUUGCAUUAAAUUCGUAAAAUCGAGCCCGUGCUAUUUGUAGUGAGUUUGGUGUUAUUUGGAUCUUCUAAAUUUGGCUUUCUUGGAGUUGUUGACCAUAUGUAAUGCCAUUUAAUUUACUUUAUGUUGACCCAGAAGACCCUCAAGACCCCGACUACGCCGAGGAAGAUACAAACGACUACGGACUAGGUGUCAUGUCACUCCCAAUCAUAUAGAUCCUAUACAUGCUUAGUUGCUAGUGCUUUAUUUAUUAUGCUUGAUGAUGAUGGAUUGUAUAGCCAAUGUUUUUAGCCAUGCCUUGAUAAUUAUUUAUCCUGUUAUCCUUGUUACCUAUUUUUGUGGACUAGCUACAGACCCCAGGUAGUCCACCGCUCAUAUAUCCAUAUACAUGCUUUUGAGUUAUGGAUGGGCAUAUGCCAUGGUUUUGGUGAUGGGAAUUCCUUGAAUAAUCUCGCGUGUGUUUUGGGUGAGUGUGACUCCUUGAUAUGUUUUGGCGGGAGUGAGCCAUAGUUGGGACUGAGGAGUGCCCUAUCGAGAGAGAGCAUUCUAGACUCUCUCUAUACCCCGUACCUGUGGUGGGUACCUUGUUUGUUUCUGAGGAGUAGGUGGCGUACUUGUACGUUGCAGGUGCUUCGGCACAUACUUGUGGAGUAGAGUGCUCGCUCUCAGAUGCUUAAGGACCAAGUCAGUUUACCACCAGUCAAACCAUCUAUUUUCGUACAUACCACUCGCUUACGUUAUGGGCGGGGUUCGGUCCAAGACUAGUGGUGGAUAGUGCUCAGCCUGUAGGUGGAUUAUAGGAUCGUAUAAGGAGUUUGAGGUGUUGGCCUGCUUUGACCAGACUGCACCCCAGCAUGGGUAGGUUUCAUAGCUUCGAGGUCCUCCCUGGUAACAGCGUGCCCUGCAGCUGAGGACGGUUCCAAACUAGAGGAAACAGGAGAGAGCUACCCAGCUACUAGGGUUGUGGCUGUUAGGUGGGGUUUGGAAGAAUCGCUACCAUUCAGGAUCCAUCCGUGCGGGUACAGUUGUACAACCUCUGCGGAGUGUAUAAAGCUAUAGCUAUAGUCCAUGUCCACUGGUUAUGGAUAGUGCUAUUGACUACCGCUAAUUUUGACUAGACUUUCUUAUUCUUCUACCUCCCCUUUUUGAGAUAGGCAGGUGUUUGCCGUUGAGAUGUGAGAAGAGGGAGCUUUCACAUCGCCUAGUGUGUUGGGUGCUGGACCCUUGGGUGAAGGAUUUGGUAAUUUGUGCCGACUUCCUUGUUUGAGGUGUUGACCUUGGAGAUGAUAAUGCUUUGCUGCUUCCUUGACUGUUGCAGCAUAAACCUCUACAGACAUAUAUAGGUUUUACUAAUGCAUAUAGUAUAAUUCCUCCGUUCCUUAGCUUGCUGCUAUUGGAAGUUGACAUGGCCUACCUGUCGGGGAUAAUCCCCAGUACCUGCAAGAAAGGAAGAAGACAAACUCGUACUAGCAUUCCCUUGUAAUCCUAUUAGGACUCAUACCCUGUAAUCCUACUAGGACUCCUACCUUGUAACCGACUAGUAAUCUCGCCCCCUUAGUAUAUAAAGGAGGGCAGGGGUACCUAGAUUGGUAGCUCAGAAUUAUCAAUCAAUAAAAUCCAACCAACACACAGAACGUAAGGUAUUACAUGGCAUAAGUACACCGAACCUAUCUAAAUCGUGUAUUAGAGUUCACCUUCAAGUUCCUAGUCUUGGUGAGCCCCACGCAUGAAACACUACCUCGGGUACCCCCUUGGUAGGUUGCCGGUAUAAAACAUCGACAUCUGGUGCACCAGGUAGGGGUGAUCGUUGAGAUCAUCGGGCGAGCUUGAAGGAUCUCAUCAUCAAGAUCAAUCUAAUCAGCGUGAUGAUAUCUCCACGUCAAUCAAAGCCAAGUUGGUGGAUUCCACAUCUUCGAAUCAUGUUUCGCCUCUGCACAUCGACUUCUAGGCACUCGAUUCCAAGACAAACUCAUGUCGCCAAAUCCGACUAGAGUUCAAUGUCGCGGUGCGUGCCCCACUCAUCCACGGAGACAACAACGCUGGAUAAAGAAAUACAGUGUUUACAUGAAGAUCAAAGCAGAGGUCAAACUUGGACUCGCUGCUGCAAUUUUGAAUUGAAGAAAAUCCGACAGUUUUUGCUAUACAAAUGUCAUGUCCACACAUACGGGCUGUUGACAACAAGCAAGCAUACAUGUACAGACCAAUAAAGAAGCAAGAGCAAGGUCACGUCAAUCAUUACAGGGCCUUGUGAAUAGCAAACAUGCUAUCGUAGGAUCAUUAAUACUAUCCAUUUGCCGUGAAGAGAAAGCGGCAGACAGCACCGGCAUCGACAAAGCGCUGGCAAAAUUACUCGUCUUGACUAAAAAACUAGUCGAGGACAGUCUACUUCAACUACUCAUCUCAACUAGAAAAUUAGUCGAGGACAAUCUACUUCGACUACUCGUCUCGACUAGAAAAAACUAGUCGAGGACGGUCUACUUUGACUACUCGUCCUGACUAGAAAACUAGUCAAGGGUAGGUUCCACGUGAUCAAAAGCUAGUCAGAAUCGACUACGAUUAGUUGGCUUCAUCAACAAUCGACACGGCUUUGUCAACAAUCAUCCACGAAUCAAGCUAAGUCACUUUUUUUAAUUAUUUUAUAUAAAAUUUUCAGCUUGUUUUCUGCAUGGAGGGCAACACGCCGACUACUUAUUUGUGUACGCCUCUCAACGGGAAUUACCCUCCAGAGCUACACUUUGCCAGGGCAUGUUGACCGAUAGCUACGGGUUUGGUACACCGAAUUAUGGAGGCUAUGGCCACGGGUUUGGUGCACUGAGUUUUGGAGGCACCGCCACAGGUUUGGCACAUUGAAUUUUGAAGGCAAUAGCCAUCGAUUUGAUGCACUGAAUACUGGAGCCUCACAACAGCUACACCCUAAGAAGACACAAAUCCUAUAAGCACAACACGCACUCUAAUAGUCGAAGGGUAGAAAAGUCUUACGCACAAUCACGCAGUCUUUUUGUCGCAAUGUCGACUACUUAUUUUUGUUGUCUUCUCUUAGUGGUCACUAAUCUUUUCAAGCAGAACACGCAUAUAUUCGUGAAAGCAUCGGAUCUUCUGUCAUGCCUAAACACUAGGACGCGAGAUAAAUAUCUCCGUAGCAGUAGUGCCAGCACGCGUACACGAGACAAAGAUCUCACAUGCCGUGGCAAUGGCUCAACAGGGACUGAGAGCCUAAACGUAGUAGGAUAACUACUCGAGAGAAAUAUAGCUGAAGCAAGAGCAUGACACACAACAUUUACAUUAUAUUCAUCACUGAAUAAAUUUUAGUAGUUCCAAAUUCUACAAAUAUGCUACAUAAUGUAUGCAUUUCUUUUUUCAGGUCAAGUUUCGGUGACAACUCUCCAGGACGCUUAGCGUACCUCCAAUGGCUCCGCUAGCUCCCAGGCUCAAGGGCUAAAGUGCCAAUUAUUACUCGGAAUACCUCUAGUAGCUCCGCUAGCUUUCAAACUUAGGGGCUAAGCGCCAAUAACUACUCAACUUGGCUCCUAUGACUCACCUAGCGCAUAGGCUCGGGGGCUGGACGUCGCAAAACUACUCGGAUGAUGACUUGUGUGAAGCCUAAAGACCCUCGGAUUGAUUAAUUAAUCAUUCCAAGGCUCAGGGAUUGAUAAGCUACACCCAACAAUUGAUUUUUUUUUUCAAGAUGAAAGAAGAUUCAAGAUUUUAUUGACCCUUAGCCUGAUUCUUCGAUUCAACCUAAGACUCGGGGACUACUCCAUAUGGAGUGCGACUUCCUCCGCCCUCCAUAUCACAUUCCAAAGAUGAAGAUUACAAAAUGAAGAUGAUCAAGGGCUUGAGCACACCAUAGCCUCAUGGCAGCUUUGAGGAACUUUGAAGAUUCAGCCAGCCAAAGUACUCGAAGAGCACCAAAACUACUUGGCAAGAAUCUGAAAAGUACUCAAGGCUGCUGCAUUCUACUAUGAAGUGCUCGGAGGCUUGUCGGGAAUAGAUCCUCAGUACCCGCAAGGUAGAAGACGGACUCCUACUAAGAUUCCCCUGUAAUCCUACUAGGACUCAUACCCUGUAAUCCUACUAGGACUCCUACCUUGUAAUUGACUAGUAAUCCCGCCCCUUGAGUAUAUAAAGGAGGGCAGGGAUACCUAGAUCGGUAGCUCAGAACCAUCAUCAACAGCCAACAACCAGGCUACACAACACCCAAGCGCAGGGCACAAUAUACAACACCCCAAAUAUGACGUAGGGUAUUACGCUACUCUGGCAGCCCAAACCUAUAUAAAUUCGUAUCUUGUGUCCUCGCUUUUACCUUCAAGUUUCAGGUCCGAUGAUUCCCCAACAAGUAAUCUACUACCUCGGGAUACCCCUUGGUAGGUUGCCGGGUAUAAAACACCGACACUACCCGCUUCUUGGGUAGUCCAGCCCGACUAUGACUUCGACAACGAUGGAUGGGAAGACUAGGGAUGGCCCUUUGCUCGACUCACCUCUGGAGAUGGAGUUUGCCAUAGCUUGUGUUUCUGUUGCGUAGAUGUUUUACCUUUCUUGAUUCAGUCCUGAUGGACUUGUACUGGCAUGUGCCGAAGAGAUGUACUCGAUACUUAUGAUACUUAUGAUAUUUCUACUAUGUUGUUGCUUUAUAUUUCAGUGUUGGUAUGGAUUUGUACUAUCUGAGAUAGGGAUUCGCACAUGAUAGCCUUCCUAGGACUAUCACUGAGGUGCGUAGGCUUGAAUUCCCAGAAAUGGGAAUUCGGGUCCAUUUCAAAACCUAUCUUAUCUAAGAACUUCUACCCAUAGGAAUCCUCUCUACCCUCGCCUACCUUUCUCUUGUUGUCCUUGGAUGAACUAGUGUUGAAGUUAGUACACACACAAUCCCUCCAAAUUCAAUGCCUUGAUUACUUCCAGGUGAAGUCUACAUCAGUUUCCGUACAUUUGCGGAUUUAUUCAUAAAUGUUAUUUAUACAAAAUCUUUCAGGUGCCAUUGCCAGGGAAUCGUUGCUGUAUCAUCUUUGAACCUAGUUCAUCCUCGUAUCUUUGUUUUACUUUUUUUUCUUUCUUAUUCCACUUCUACCAUGGAGCAACCUUCUAUUCAAAUGCUAUUAGCUCCAAAGGGCAAGUUCUAUGAGCCACCACCUUUACCAAACCUAUUUCUCACAGUCGGCUAUGAACUCUACCCCUGCUUUGUAGCCACUGUUCGGGAAUAAUCCUUCUUAGGACUAUACAAUGAAAACUCUUACCAUCAUCUAUGAGAGUUCAAGCAACUGUGUUUGUGCCUAGUGAUCCCAGGCAUGAUAGAGGAAACCUUAAGGUGGAAAUUGUUUCCAUUCUCUCUUACAGAGAUGGAAAAGUAAUGGUACAUUCAUACCGUUGCAGUGUGAAUGGUGAUUGGGAGGAACUUUGAGAUAGAUUUUAUCUCUCGUUCUUCCCUCUGCCCCAUAUAGUCUCCCUACGUGGGGAAAUUCUUGACUUCCACUAGUAUGAGAAGGAAUCCAUAUGUGCAGCCUGUGCCAAGUUCUCAACAUUAAUAUAAUCCGGCCCAAACUUGUCAAUACUCGACCAUGUGUUGCUACAACGCUUUUGUUUGGGCCUUAGCAAGGAGCUUAUCCUAUACCUCGACAUUAUCAUAAGAGGAUCAUUCGCUCACAAGACCAUGAUGGAAGGAAGAGAAAUCCUAGAGCGUAUGUUAGAAAACACUUCCUUUCUCGCUGAUCAUAAUGAACCCCUCCCGGAUGAAGCCAAGUCAAGCCAUGAGGACCCCUCAAUAGCCAAACCCGAGCUUUUGCCUCCUACAUCCCAAGUCUGGGGAAGUGCCAGGUCUGUCGACACUCUUCCCAAGCUUGUAGCUUGGCAGAUGCUUAAGUUUUGUUUCUUAAUUGCUUGUGGGUUCAUCACCCUAAUUAUAUAGAGUACCUAAGUCUUCCAUGAGUGUAGUACUGAGACUAAGGUCGUAAUUGAUAUUGUGUAGACAUGGUGUCUAGGCAGUAGGGAUUAUCUUUGUUUGCCUUGUGCCACAUGGAAUGCAAAGGUAGGUGGCAGGUGGUGAUAGAACUGUCCGUCCUUCAUAAUCCUCCACGUUCGGGUACAGUGUAGAGCCGUUGGCUGGACUCUCCUGGCAGACCAAGGGUAAGCCAGUGCCCAAAGUAAGCAAUCUAGCUACAGAACCUAUCUUAUCUAAGAACCUCUACCAUAGGAUCCUCUCUACCCUCGCCUACCUUUCUCUUGUUGUCCUUGGAUGAACUAGUGUUGAAGUUAGUACUCACACGAUCCUUGCGGAUUCGAUGCUUUGAUUACUUCCAGGUGAAGUCUACAGCGGUAUUCGUACAUCUGUGGAUUUAUUCAUGAACAUUAUUUAUUCUAACAGAUUCUAAACUAACACAAUCCAACGGCAAUUUUCCUCACUAUCCUUUACUCGCUUUGGUUGCAUGACCCUUUCGAAUGAAUUUGAAUGCAACUUGUUGGGGAUCUGGAUCAAGGAUUCUACCCUCGCACGAUGUAAUGAACAAAGCUUACCUUCGCCCAUAGCUAACACCUUCACUACCCGGUUACCUUCGUCG